GUUGACAGACAACUACCCGCUGGUCUCAUUACUACUGCUGUCAACUUCUAUGGAGGCUGCUCAAUGGUCAAAUACGAACACUAAAUUCAGAAAAUCACGUUUGAAAUAGUUUCUUAUAAAACAUUACCUUCCGUCUAAGUACAACAAACAUUAAAACACCACGGAGCAGCCUGUCUUCACCAUAGCACCGAACCACUGCUAAUUUUUCACGUUUUUUACUUCAAUAAGAGCAAUAGCAGCCGCGGCUGGGCGGGGUGUGUAGGGGUGUGUGGGGGGUCGUGUGUCGAUUUCCGUCCCUGGGGAGACAGUGGGAUUCCGCGCCAAAACAACGCCUGUUCUCCGAGCUAGGUGUGACUGGUCAAACGUUGUGCAAUAAUCGUUCAUUUCCAUGGCCUUCUAUGUUUGAGAAUUGUAUUGUUUAUAUUGCUACAUAUUUUUAAGUUUCUAAUAAAAUUGGUAUUUUUAG
rnacentral:misc_RNA from 1 species